rnacentral:lncRNA from 1 species
CAGGAUACAAGUAUAUAUCACACACAAACAGAUUGCAUGGCUGAACUAGUACUCUCUAUGAUUUCAUGGAAUGGGAUACACAACCACCUUUCCGGUAGCUCUGGAGGUUUCAAGAUAGGCAAAUGCUUCAACAUUCUUCGAAAAUGGAUACGGCCCGGUGGGAUCAAGCACCGGCCUCACCUUCCCACUCUCCAAGUAAGGCUUCAGUUUCUCUAAUACAGUUCCGGUUGAAGUCAGCAUAAAUAGGAAUGCCGGUGGCGCUACUGGACGUACAAUUGUCAGUACCUUCCCGCCUGCCUUCACCAUCUUCACUGCCCUGUCAGUCUCCCCUAUUUUUGUUAAUUUCAGAAACACAAAACAACAUCAGUCCUCGUGUUUGAUUAAUUCCUGAUAAAUAAAUAAAAAAUGUUGUAACCUUGAUGUAUUUUAUUUGGUUGGAUAGCAUCAUGCAUUGAAUUGUUUAAGCUUAAUUUAUGUAAGAAAGAACCAACAAUGAAGAUUCAAGAAUCAUCCCAACUGCGCCAUAAACCACAUCGAAUUCCUCGGGCAGGUCUACGAAGUUUGUUGGGGACAACACAUGUAAACAAAUUACUUAUAUUACACACACAAAAUAUUACAACACACUCUCAAGGACACACUUUAGAAGCUACGACACUUACUCACUCAAGAGACACACUCUAGACCACUCACACUCUUCACAAGACUACUCUUGCUUCUUGGCUACCUUCUAGUUCUUUCUACAAACUAGAACUAGUUUCUAGCUUCUAAUAUAUUCUACAAAUCUCUAACUUAGAUAAUUCUAGACUAGCCACCCUACUUUGCAUGCUAGAAUCUUCUAGAACAAUUCAAUGCAUGUUUGAACUAGAACAAUCUAGUUCCCUUAUACCGACUAAGCUUAAUGGGCUGGUGUUGAUCUUUAACACUCCCCCCUCAACACCAGCUCAUUCUUUUCUUCUCGCUAAGUCGACACUUUAUCUUGAACACCCAUUUACAUGAGAUGGGUUUUACUUCUCUUGGCCUUGACACUUAAUCCCAAGUUUGAUAUUUCUUUAACGCAUCGACCUUUUCUGACACCGGAUAAUGGAGAUCAAAGAGAAACCACAAGUGAACACUCAAAGAUAAACAACUCACCACUCUAAGGAAUCCACCAAAGAGAUAAGAGUUUAAGGAUAGGAAGAAAAACACUCUUCACUAAACCAAGUUUAAAAGGUUAAGGAUAGGAAGAAAAACACUCUUCACUAAACCAAGUUUAAAAGUAAUUCUUAAUUUCUGAAUGAUUUAUUUCCAUACAUGAGUAGGGAUUUUUAAUAGUCUAGGCAUGGAACAACCUUCGACCUUCCAUGAAUAGGUUACUAAGCAUGAACUUAAUGUAAGACUAAUCAUGAACUUAAAUGAGAACAUGAACCAUCUUUGAAUUAAAUACGAUGAAUGCACCAUGUAAUAAUUAGAUGAGUCCAAGUUCGGCGUCAUUUUCUCCUAGCUUUAUGCCAUUCAGAAUUCUGUAAUGCUUCUUUACGCAUUGCUUCAACUGCUUCUUCUACUAUGGUUGUGUUGGCGUAUAUGGGAUUUGGCUUCAGUAUUCUCAUUGACCUCCUUAGUUCUGAUUGUGGAGUUGAUACUUCCACUUCAAUAGGUCUAACUUCUCUUGGUGGUUGAUACACACUAGUUUGCCAAUGACCCUUAGGCACUUCUUGCUCGACAUCGUCUCUAGCAAGCAAAUCUUCAGGCUCAUUUGGACUCAAUUGGACUUGGGUAGCUUGGUCUCCCAUUUUCUCCUGCAACAUAUCUUCAAUCUCUUUCGAGUCGGAAAAUGCUUCAUUUUCUGAGCACCAACAAGAUGAUGCUUCUGUGUCCCAUUCUUCCUUCAUAGCUAGAUACGCUACGGUGUCCCAAUCAUCUUCAUUUUCCUCCUUUGAGCUGGCGACAUUACUUUCUGUGGGCUUUUUGAACCAGGAAUCCUUCGCUAUAUGGCCCUUCUUUCCAUAAUUGUAACAUUUGCCCUCAAACCUUUUAUUAUUUUGGGACUGACCACGGUUGUCGUGAUAUUUCGGAGCUACCCCUGGCCGAGAACACCCUUUUCCUUGAUGACCUUUCGCCUUGUCACCAUUUGUUUUAGAUUCUCCAUCAUCACGCUGCUUAAAGCUACCUUUACUUUUGGUGUAGAGCGUUUCCUCCUCACCUUUUAACAAGACCUCUCCCAUUUGCUUUGCCAAAGCUUCUUGAUUGGCAAGCAAAUUCUCAAACUCAACAAGUGAUGGUUGGGUAGGCCAUCCUUGUACAGCGGCAACGAAGCCUCGAUAUUCGGGUCUCAAUCCAUGGAUAAUUAUUCUUUUUAUCCUGAAUUCUACAAUGGCAGCAUUAGGAUCUAACUCAGAAAUUUCACGGCAAAUAGACUUUACCUUGUGGAAAUAUUCGGCAAUCGUCAUGUCUCGUUGGGCCACCGAUAACAACUCGUUCUCAAGAAUCUGCAGUCUUGUAUCAUUCCUCUUUGAAAAGAGUGUGGUGAAGGUGUCCCACCCUUCUUUCGGUGUCUUGGCCUUUCCGUAUGUGCUCCAACAUGUCCUAUUCAAUUGUCGUUUUUAAGGUGAACAUUGCAUUACCUGGCUUGAUCUUCCAUUUCGACAAAGUGCCGCUAGAGUCUUCUUCCGACUGUGUGAUCUCAUUAUCGCCGGUGACAUCCCAAAGAUCUUGGCCUUGUAGGUAAGACUCUAUACAUGUCACCCAUAUGUUGUAAUUUUUUUUUAUUAAGCUUUUUGAUUCCUCCAACAACUUGAAGAUCUCCCAUCGUGUCGACAAAACUUCGAUAAGCCGAACAAGAUUAACUAAUAAUCUUGUAAAGUACUAAACUUCUCACGAUUCUCUAAAGCUUCAAUAGAGAUGGUCCUUUGAUCGUACCGCUCUGAUACCAAUUGUUGAGGAAAAAUUAGAGUACACAACUCUAACACAAGUGUUGGGUGUCUACAAAAUAGAAAAUAUAUUCGAACAAAAAAAAUCAACUAGAUCAAUUUUGAUUCUUCAAAUAGAUUAAACUAAAUUAUAAGUUGGUAAAGAUUAAAACUUUUCUAAAUCCCCCAAAUCACAAGCUAAUCAUGCAUUAGUGAAAAAGAUAUGAAGAGAGAGAGGCUCAUAAGGGGUGGAGAGUCAGAGUCCUUCAAGUAGCCAAGUAUCAUUUUCAAAUCAACUGAGUUGAGAGAUGCAACAACCACCUUGAUCAGCACCUGGUCUUGUUUGGGUUAAAACUUGAACUUUGGGCUCAAGAAGGAGUUGGCCCAAAAGAAAGAGGUCUAGAAGGAGAAAAGCCCGAAGCCCAGCCAAAGCCCAGAAAGCAGGAGAGGCCAUUUCUGACUAGGUGCAGACCAUUUGAACCACUUGCUCACCUACUUAGAGGUCAAGUGGUAUAGACCAGCCAGCUAAUCAGCCCAAAAACAAUUUACAGUGGCGGUACAAGUAAAAAGCUGAUGAGUCAUUGCCCUUCAAGUUGCAUUCGGGCAAGAUUACUGCUUCAGGAGACCAAGCCGAAGUGUCUAUAAAAGAAGAAAGAGAAAUCAAAGAUAAGGACACUCAAUCAAACAAACAAAUACAAGCACAAACUCUGCUCAAACCAGAUUUGCCUUCAACGAAGCUGUAGUCAGCCCAAGUCUUCAUCCAUUUUGGGAUUAACCCUCAACCAAAGCCUUUGUAAUAGCUCUGCUACCUUGUCUAGAACUUGUUGUAGUAUCGAUUUCCUUUUGUAAACCCAUCUCCUUACCCCUCUUUCUAAGCUCUCAAACCCCUUGAUAAACCACAAAGAUAGGAAGUUGCAAGACGAUCAGCCUUGCCCGACCCUCUAUGUUUUUGUCUUUUCAUUCAUUAGUCUAGCAAUAUGUUGUAUACUUCCAGUUGUAUCCAAGUUAUUUCUGGCAAGUUGAUGAUUAAAAAGGCUCAUCAAUUCUUGAAUCCGAUUUAAAUAUGUCUUCACAGAUUAAAUUAGAUCUAAGUUCUAAGCCCUCGGGCAUGUAAGAUUGAUCAUUUAAAAGUCCUUGGUCUCAAGGCAUAAAAAAGAACCUUAUGUGGACUUAACCCAUCCACGACAGUCUUUGAUAAACAAGAAGUCCGAAGUUACUUAGGGCGCAAGUAAUCGACCUAUCCCUUAGUAUUAUUUCUAUUAUAUUAUGAUUAUCGUAGAACGUUUGAGCAUAGAAUGAAUUCUGAUGGGAAGCCUCAAGGCCUACACCUAAGGCCCUACAAAGGCACCUAUUUGGAUUCUUUCUGCUUUUCGGGGGCAAGUAAUCAGAAGUAUAAUAGUCAUAAUACUUCUGUAAUCAAUGAAACAAACAUUAUAUAUUUGAGUACUAGGUUAGUUCCUGAUUGGAAGCCUCAAGGCCUACCCCUAAGGCCCCACAAAGGCACAUUUCAUAACUAAAACAGCCUAUCGGGUAUAUAUACAACUAAAACUCAACAUCUGUUUUACAUCUGCCAUGCUGAAGAUGGCAGUGACACGCCUGAGCACUUAAAAGUUAAUCUUGAUUGUGUGCCUCAAGGCCUAUACCUAAGGCCCCACAAAGGCACAUUUCAAAGUUAACUUUGUCUUUCUUUUUCAGCCUUGCCCGACAAGCCUGCCAGUGAAGCAGAAGCCCGACAGAAAGUAUCGACCGGCGCUAACCUCUCGGGGAGCUGUGUGCUCGUUGGCUAAGAAACACCCCCAACGAAAAUUCUAGCCACGAACAGGUCUUCAUUUGUUUCGGGAACAAGAACAUCCGGAUCGAAGUUCAAAACAUCUGCAAGCUUCCCGUACUCUGAGUACACCCACGCCUUGUUUACAGAUGGUACGGAAACUGUAUCACUUGAAGCUACAGCCACCAUUGAUGCACUGCAAAACCACAAGAACUUGCAAAGGGAAAGGGAAAUGGUUUGUUGUUGUUGUUGUGAGCAAAUGAGUGAGAUACGAUCAGUCUGAGAUCUUGGCACCGUGUCAUUUUAAUGGUGAAGGAGAAGGAUGUGGGUUUUACUGGCGAAGGAGGAGGAUGUAGCUGUUAACUACAUUGAAAUGUUUGGGAAUUAAAGAGAAAAUCAAGAAAAAUCGAUGAAUAGAAGGAUGAACACAGAGAUCUUAGAGAGAGAGAGAUAAAGUUUAGAAAGAGAAAUAUGAGGCUUGUAUUAACUAAAAAUAAAGAUUACACAACUAUGUUUUUAUAAGAGAAUAGCCUACCAACUCUAACCAAAUACUAACAAACUUACUAGAUUGUUGACUUGUACAAUCUUUUUAACUAACCAUCUAACUAUUGGUGUGAAACCCUUAAUAGUAGCAACCACCUUGAUCAGCACCUCAUCCUCCUUAAUUUCAGGAACAGCCAAAAAUAAAAAAUAAAGAUGGUUAUUGGAAAGCGAGUAGUUGAUGUCACAGCCCGUCCCGAGAUUCUAUAUAUCGAGGUUGUGAAAUGACAAAAUUACCCUUAACGGUUACUAAGGUAUGUGUGUGACAUGUUAUUGAUUAUGCAUAUUUCCUAAGUUUUGGAAAAAUUUAAUUGGAUUAAAGGUUAUAUGUAUUUUUGUGGUUAGGGAGUUAAGAAAAAUGGAUGGUGAUGGUUUUGGGAUGGACCACACACACAUACACACGGGUCAAACCUCUCUCUCUCUCCUUCCCGUGCUCUCUCUCUCUCUUCUCUUCUCAGUUCACUCUCUCCCUCUCAAAACUUACGGAUGAGACCAAAUUCCCUCUAAACAUCGCGGAUCGACGCCGAAAAGGUAAGGUUCUUCAUCCUUUCGACCUCCUGAGUCGUUUGGUACUAGUUUUAGAAUGGGAAACCUUAGAAAUCACGUUGAAAACCCGAGGUCCAAUUUGAGUACUGUUCAUGCAUUCGUGAUGUGUUGAUUUUCAGGGAAUUCUAAGCUUAUAGUGAGCUUAGUGAGGUCCUAAGGAAGCUCGGAGUGCUUAGUUUAAAGGUUUUAGACGUCGGGAUCGUUGAGUUCGAAGUUGGCCGGUUUUCUUGGAAUUUCUCCGGUGAGAUUUCGUAGUUUUUAGAGCCUUAAAGUAGUGUAACGUGAAUCUACAUGCUUAGGGCUUCAUUUUGAUAUAAAAUGCGUGAAAAUGGUUGAGAAAUGACGGAGAACAAGGAGAUUGAAAAAUCUCCAGUUUUUCGACGACCGGCGACUAGAGGUUAGGGGUGAUACGCAUGGGGGCACGUGGACCCGUGCCCAUCCUGGCGCGUGCGGCCUCGGAAAAAUUUUCUGAAAAUAUGUCGACGUCCAUGACGUCGAGUAGGUCACUGUGGUAUAUUCAUAUACCCAAAUUGAGCACCGUAUGAGAAGUUAUUUCGAAUUGUCUGUUAUGUGCUUUAAAUAACGUUAUUUUAGUUGUUUCGCAUAUAGGUGAUACCUAUCCCGAGGACGAGCGCAUCCAGGGAUGUCACAGGGGUUACGACCCUUCGACUUAUCAGUGAGUGGGCAGUUAUUUUCUGUUAUUACCUAUAUACUAUUGAUUUUCCCAGAAAUUGAAUUUAAAUGAAAGUAUGUUUUCAAAUGCCAUGCAUGCAUAUUAUGAAUUAUAUGAAUUAGUAAUUGAUGCAUAUAUAUAUAUAUGAAUUGGUGUUGUGGACGCACAUGUGAGUAUCAGGUGAGUUUUAUGUUAUCUAUGUGAAUCAUUUAUGAUGUGAAUUAUGUUGAGAGCUCAUAACCUGCACCCCUGGUGUUAGUGCUUAUAGUAUUCACCGCACCGCACGCUCACCUUGGAUCCAAGUAGGUGCAUGUCGUACAAACCAUGAGAGAGUUCCGACAUACUAGUCGUACAGAUCACUAGAGGUGGUUCCGACUGGUAGGUGACCUUAGAUUAUGUGCACAGAUGAUUGAUGAGAGAAGCACUAAAGCGUAUUAUUACACCAUUCUUGUUGUACAGACUACUUCAGGUAGUUCCGACUUAUGUGCAGAGUAGUGCCGUACAGGUCACCGUGGUGACUCCGGUUGGUUUGGAUAUUGAGCUAUGGAAUUAACCGUACAGGAUCAAUUGCAGGGUCUCCGGUUAAUUCAUUAUGUCACCUGUUAUAUUGAUGCAUUCACAAUCUGUUAUUGACAUUUAUGGCAUGGCAUAUUUUCUGGAAUUGAUAAAGAUUCGUGAUUUGAGUUAUAUGAAGAGUUAUAUGCAUAUUAUGUUAAUUUCUGGGAAAGUAUACAUGUUUUACAGCGAGAGGUUAGAAUUGCUUUUGAUGAAAUGUUUUCGAAAAAAUUUGGUUUUACUGACCCAUUCAAUUUUGUUUUGCGCCCCUCUAGGUUCUAGUUAGCAGCAUUGGUGGCCCACGAGGAUCCCCACGGCGUACUGACAGACUACAUAAAUGUAGGACUCACCUGCGGGUGUUGUAAUCUAGUUAUGGUCCUACUUGACUGCACCUAGUUCUUAUGCUCUGAAUUUGUGUGUUUCACACUUAAACUUACUCUAGCACGUUACUUGGUUAUUAUUGCUAGUAUUUGGUUUUUGUUUAUUCGUAUUUCUCUUAUCUUUUGCUUCCGCGUCGCACUUUUGGUUACGUCACACUCACGUGGUGGCCAGCACGCCUUGAUUCUAGGAUUGGGGUGUGUCAGUUGAGCCCAAACUGGCAAACCGAAGUGUUGUUAAGAAAUUCCCACUAUGGUCUCUAGAGAACAAUCCUAACCCCUAUUAUGACUAGUUGUUCAAAAGGAUCUCCCGUUCUUCCAUCAAAUAUUUUUGGCCCUUUAAAAAUAUCUUUGUAAGUAUCCUUAAAAGUAACUUUGUAAGUUUCAUAUCGUUAGUUAAAAAAUAACAAAUAAAUAUAAAGAUUUGCAAUAUAUCAUAGGAUUUGGAGGAACUGUAAGAGGGAGUACAUCCGCUCUAACCAAUGCCCGUGUUAAAGCUAAAAAACACAGCAAUGAGCAAGUAGGAAGAAAACACACUGCAAACUAGCCAAACUAGAAGCACUAUAUAAAUACACAUAACAUUGCGCCCUUAUUACAAGACUUUCAAACAAGCGGGCAGCAGGAUACAAGUAUAUCACACACGAACAGACUGCAAGCCUGAACUAGUAUACUCUAUUAUCUCAUGGGAUGGGAUACACAACCACCUUUCCGGUAGCUCUGGAGGUUUCAAGAUAGGCAAAUGCUUCAACAGUCUUCGAAAAUGGAUACGGGCCGGUGGGAUCAAGCACCGGCUUCACCUUCCCACUCUCCAAGUAAGGCUUCAGUUUCUCUAAUACAGCUCCGGUUGAAGUAAGCACAAAUAUGAUUGCCGGUGGCGUUACUGGACCUAUGAUUGUCACAACCUUCCCGCCUUCCUUCACCGCCUUCAAUGCCCUGUCACUCUGCCCUGUUUUUGUUAAUUUCAACAACACAAAACAACAUCAGUCAUUGUGCUUGAUUUGUUUAAGAAAAAAACAACGAUGAAAAUUCAAGAAUUAUACCAACUGCAUCAUAAACCACAUCGAAUUUCUCAGGCAGGUCUUCGAAGUUCUCCUUGGUGUAAUCAAUAGCCAAAUCAGCACCCAAGCUUCUCAAAAGAUCGAGUUUUUUCGUGCUCGCUGUAGCUGCUACUUUUGAAGCACUAAACACGCUUUGCUAGCUGCCUCACAUAAACACAUUGAGUGUCAAGAAUAAUUAAUCAAUCAGCUUUACUUAAUUAGAGCCUAACUUAAUGGAAAAUGUUUGCACUUGAUUAACAUUGUACCUGAAUAACAUGUGUUCCGACUCCCCCAGCGCCUCCCAAAACAAGGAUGGAUUUACCGGCAGAGAAUUCAACUCGUUCGAGCCCUUCAUAGGCAGUCUCAAUGGCCAGGGGAAGGCUAGCAGCUUCAACAAAACUCAGAUUUUUUGGCUUGAGAGCUAACACUCUUUCUUCUGCAGCAGUGUACUCGGCCAAUGAUCCGAUCUUUUUCGGCUUAUCGAGAGACUUCUCGUUGAGAUCCCCAUAUACUUCAUCCCCCACCUUAAACUUUGUCACCCGGCUUCCUACUUUCACCACCGCACCAGCAACAUCAUACCCUGGAACCGUCUGCAAACAAGUUAAUUUAAUAAAAUUAAUAUUUUAGUAAACAAGCUAAUUGGGUUUACACUAGAAUUUGAAGAUCAACUUUGAUUCUUCAAAGCAAGUUUCUUGUUAUUUCUUAACCUUUCAAUUUUUAUUUUAUUUUACAAGAUGAUAAUUUAAACUAAUCUACAUGUGGGGAUUCAAACUUGGGUGUCAUCAUCUAAAGAGGAACGAGCACAUUAUUUUGGCCAACUGUAAUAUUAAUAUUCGUCUGUUUAAAAAGAAACGAGCACACUGUUCUAGCCAAUACACGUUUACAAAAAGAAAAUUUCUUCUAACAAAAAGAUCAACUAGAUCAGCUUUGAUUCUUCAAAUAGAUUUAACUAAAUUAUAAGUUGGUAAAGACUAAAACUUUUCUAAAUCCCCCUACUCACAAACUAAUCUUGCAUUUGACUUCAGUGAAAAAAAUGAAGAGAGAGAGAGAGGCUACAGGGGGUGAAGAGUCAGAGUCCUUGAAGUAGCCAAGCAUCCUUUUGAAAUCAACUGGGUUGAGAGAUGCAGCAACCACCUUGAUCAGCACCUGGUCUUCCUUUAUUUCAGGAACAGGAACAUUCGGAUCGAACUUCAAAACAUCUGCAGACUUUCCGUGCUCUGAGUACACCCACGCCUUGUUUACAGAUGGUAUGGAAACUGAAUCACUUGAAGCUACAGCAGCCGCCAUUGAUGCACUGCAAAAACCACAAGAAUUUGCAAAGGGAAAGGGAAAGGGUUUGUUGUUGUUGUUGUGAGCAAAUGAGUGAGAUCAGAUCAGAUCAGAUCAGUCUGAUAUCUCGACAGCGUGUCGUUUUAAAGGUGAAGGAGAAGGAUGUGGAACCUUGGUGUUUGCCUACGUGGCCAUAUAAGAAAAAACUCCAAAUGAUGCAUCAAGAUGCACUGUUAGUUAGGUUCAGUGGGGCAACAUGCCAAAUUAUGCAUGUAGACACAUCGUUGCUUGAGGUUCAUUGUGUGCGGCAACAUGUUAUAAAAUUGGUGUUCUGUUUCUUUUAGCCAAAUCUGACAUCAAGAAACCCCUGGAUGGUAAUGCUAACGUCGCUGAUAUCGUAAUGCUUGCUAGCGUAGAAGUUUUCUUCCUUUUUUUAUCCUUAUCCUUGAGUUUUCUUCUUUCUUGUUGACACCUCCAACAAGAAAUAUAAGAAGAAAAAACCCAACACUUUCUGUUACUUGGCUCUUUUGUAAGUAAGUGCUUACGUAAGAAAUACUAAUUUAUAACUUUACGUAGGUUACUAUUAUUAUUUUUAUAACUUUAGGUAGGUUACUAUUAUUAUUUUUUAACAAAUGAUAUUAUCUUAUAUUAAGACCAUCUUUAACCUAUGGGGUAAAGCUUAAAAUAUAAGUUUUAAAAACCCCCAAACCAUUUCCAACCAUAGGCUAAAUAAGUCAUGGUGAGAAAAUAUAUAUCUGGGCUAGAUUCCCUGUUACACCACACCCUCAUUUUAGUUAAAAAUGGUUUUUAGUUCUGAAUUGGUGAGCCCAAAGGGCACACCCCCUGUUAUCUGUCCCCGGUUUCCCAUCUCUCUCUCUCUCCUCCAUUUCUCUUCUCUUUUCCCUUCUCUCUCCCCGAAUCUCUCUGCACCCACUCUCGUCUCUCUUUCUCUCCCUCAUUCCCCGAUCUCUCACCCCUCGACCCACACCCGAGAGCUCCACACCACCCUCCCCGACAUCAACGGAGCCACCAUCAUCAUCAUGCCGUCUCUCUCUCUCUCUCUCUCUCUCUCUUGUCGCUGCGAGGUGCGGAGAAGCCACCCUCCUGCGAGAUUCUCCAUUUUUUAGAAAUCAAGGUAAGCCUCGGGACUUCUCUUUCUGGUUUAUGAUGAAUUGGGGUUAAGUUUGGGACUUUUUAUCCAUGCAUGCUUGUGUUCUUCGAAUUUCCAAUUCUCGGCAAACUUCUACGGUGGAACUCUAACGAGUUCUAAAUCAAACCCACCCCAAACUUUGGAAUUUCUCAUCUAAGAAACUGAAUGGUGAACAUCAUGAAUUCCGGCAGUGGAAUCGUCGAAUUUGGGGUCCUGCAAGCUCAUCUGAGUAUCCAGCAAACCUAGGGUAAUGUUAUUAUGCUUUGCAUGUUAGAUUUGAGUUGAGAUUUGAAGGUUUUAACCCUAGGAAACUCUUUGUGCAUUUCCCUAACUCCAGCAAGAAAAUUUGGCGAAGCCUUGUCGAGUCCGAAGAGGAUUUGACUCGUUUUCAUCUAUGUUGAUGCUCUGAUGAAUUACCUCAAUUUUUAGUGAAGUUCUAGUCCAAAGUCAUGUGGAACCACUGGCGGAUUCAUUAAGGGGUAAGGGGGUCAGCUGACCCCCCGAACUUCAAUGAACGUCUAUAGAUACCUUAGGUGCUGACCCUCCGAAUUUCGAUGAAUGUCCAUGGAUACCUUGAGUGUUGCCCUUUUGAAGAUUAGAGUUGGCUUCAUACUUGCCCUCCAACCGACUUUAGACUUACCAAAACCCGAUGAAUGUCCAUGAAUACCUUGGGUGAUGCCCUUGCAUACAUUAACAUAUCUAUAGUAUGCAUUUUCAAAUGACUUCAGGCCUACCAAGACUCGAUAAAAUGACGAUAUGCAUACUAUUUUUGGUAUAAAAAAAAUUGCGCACUACGCGCGUUGUUCUUACUGACCCCCUUUAAUAUUAUUUCCUGGAUCCGCCACUAUAUGGAACCAAGGUGUUUUACCUCUGUUUAUUCUCUGCAAUCAGUUCCAAAAACUAGGGAACCCACACAUAUUGAACUCCAGCGAGUUCUUGGGCUGCUUGUUUAAUGUGUGUGUGUGUCGUGUGUGUGUGUGAGUGUGUGUGUGUGUGUGUGUGUGUGUGUGUGUGUGUGUGUGUGUGUGUGUGUGUGUGUGUGUGUGUGUGUGUGUGUGUGUGUGUAUGUGUGUUAUAUGGGUUUGGGCUCAAGCCCAAACCACCAUUCUUUGCAAUAAGGCCUUCGGGCCGUGUGUGUAUAUGUGUGGGUCUGGGCCCAAGCUCAGACAACCCUAAACCCAUCCAACCCACAACCCUUUUCCCAAAACCAAUUUCCUAAAACUCAUUAACCUUAAAUCUAAAUCUAAACCCUUAGGGCCCAAUCGGCCCAACCCAAAUCCAAGCCCAGUCUGACCUUUGACCGUUGACUUGGUCAACGGUCAGCGUUGACUUUGACCAGUCAACGAUUAACAUUGACUUUUAGAGUUGACUUUUCGGGGUUUCGUCUGGGACCUUUCCUAGGCUAAUUUCGACGUCCUGGACCCGUUUUUGAAGUCCAUUUUCCCAAAUUAAAUUGUUUGAGUAGAGUUUGACUAAUUGUGCUAUUUAUGUGCUUAGGGUCAACUAUUGUGACGUUUUCGUCUUCGCUAGUGGCGCAGUUUUUGGCGGCUAAGUACUGUGAGUAGACCCCUUCUAAAAUUAAAUGAUUUUAUAGUUCAAUUGCAUAAAUGAAUAGCAUGCCUUACGAGUUUAUGAUUUGAUUUUAUGUUAAGCAUUUUUAUUGAAUAUGUUGAUUUUCGUCUUGUGUUUUUUAUGAGGAAUUAAUUGUUAGCCUAUAUUGAGCUAUAUUUUAAUAUAUCGUAUUUUCUAUAAAAACCAUGAACUGGUAGACUAUCUGAUGGAUGACGAUAGGAUGCUAGAACAUGUUUUAGAAACCCCUCUUUAUAGUAUAGACGAUGGAUGACUUUAUACUAUGAAGUGGUUAUUUAUGAAAGGCGUAAUUAUUUGUGCAUAUCUAGUGGACACUAUGCCGCCUGGGGUGAGGAUCUGGUGUUGGCAGAUAGGCCGGGAGAAAUAAUCCCUAGCUACGGGCUGAGGGACACGGAGCAGGCAUUGGGCCGAGAGUUGGUAAUCUCUGGCUACGGGUGCAGAGACCACGGUGCUGGCAUAGGGCCGGGAGUUAUAUUUAUUCAAUGAUCUUACUAGCAGCACACCAUGUUUACGAGACGAUCUACGAGAUGAUACACGCGAUGAUUUAUAUGAUGUUUUUCCGCGUUAUACCUGUUGAGAUGUUUUAUGGCAUGCUAGAGUUUCAGAAAACCUAUCACUUAUUAUGCUAGUAGUUUUCAUUAUAUAUAAACUUGGUCCACUCACCCUUGUUUUGCGCCCCUUUCAGGAUUUAGAAUUCGAGGCAUAGGUUCCCGACGUCAACGCUUUCGCAUUGGCAUAUUCGAGUCCUCUCGGUGUAGGACUCACAUCCUUUUAUUUAUUAAAUUUUAUAUUAAUUCUUUUAGAACUCUAGUUAGUUGUAUGCUCUGAACACGUUUCUAAUUUAUUAAUUCUUUGAAUUUUAAAUUCAUAACCCUUAUUUACUUCUUAUUCUUAGCUUUUGUAUCAAUUAAUGGCUUUCGUCACCCUCGGGUGUCGGCCAGCACGUGCCUAUCCUGUUAUUCCAGGAAUAUUGGGAUCGGGGAGUGUCAUUCCCCUAGAAUUUAAGUAUGUCUUAAAUUAUUUUGGACCCACCAAACUGUCAUAUUUCAUUUUUUGUUUUUGUUUUUUACUUAUAAUCUAACGGCUAUGAUCAAAUGAGACCAAAUCUAAUAGUAAAAUAAACAUUUGACGGUCCAAAAUUAAAUAAUGUCUAAAAUUAUUUAAGAAAAUUAUCUACACCAAAUUUAACUUAAAACUUUAAAUACCUAUGUAUUUGUAUGAUUUUUAAUUACUUAUCAUCGAAAAUUAAAUAUUUAAAGACUAAAAUGUUCAUAAAAAUAAAUUAAGAUAAUCUACAUAAUUUUUUUUUUAAAAGAAAAGUUAUCGAAAACAAAAAGUUAGGCUAAAAUCAUUAUUUAAUCAUCACAGACUAAAAUUUUAAGCCACAAGGGUUGGAGGAAAAAAAAAAAUCAGUUUUUGGCUUAUGGCUUAAAAUUUUAUGGCUUAAAUUUUUAAGUUUUAUGCCCAAGGGUUGGAGAUGGUCUAAAGGGGUGAGGGAAUUCAAAUGGGCUAAACCCCACAAUGAAGCUAGCAAUAAUGUGGUUCAAAUUAGUAGAGGUGCAGUUAAAAAAUAUUAUUUAUAGACUUAUUAGAGGUAUAGUUAAAAAAAAAAUUAUUAGGAAAUUGUUAUUAGCACUCCAAAAAUCUCAUUUGGCACUCCAAACUUUCUAUAAUUAGAAAGAAAAAUACACUUAUGACGAGUGUAUAAUGAGUUUUUUUUAGUGCUAAUAACAGUUCCCUAUUAUUAAUUGACUUAUUUAUCUUUCAUUAAUGUUGUAUUUUCUAAAUAGGAUUUCUGAGAAGGGCAAUAUGGAAAUACAAAAAAGUUUCAUGCCAAGAAGUUGUAAACAUGCUUAAGAAAUUAGAAACAUUUUGGCUUCAAUAAGAAGGUGUCAUGUUGAUAGAGUAUUAUGUACUUGCAAGUUCAAAGACGUAGCACCAACUCCAAAAACUAAAGCAUUGCCUCAUACAAUUUUAGAUAAAUAUUUUAGUUCAUCUUAAACUUUUAUUUAUGGUAUUGCAUAUUUUUGUACUCAAACAACUUUAGAGAAAUAUUUUAAUUUCCUUAAGAUGAGACUAAGAACAAUUAUAACUUAUUAAAAUGUGGAGUUUAUUCCUAUGCAUAACUGGUCUUUUAAGUUGGGACCAAAAUCUUUUGUGACUUGAGGUUAUUCCUUUAUGGAAUAUUACUUUAGAGAGGUUUUACUGUAGUUAAGGCUUUUUUUAAUGAAAGCGCUUUCAUUAAAAACAAAAGGAAAACUAAUUAAAAAUGCUUGAAAACUUUGAGUUUUAACGAUAAGGACAAAAUAAAGGGUUAAGUGAAUAGUACCAUGAUUGACUUUUUAGUGCAAAAAUGUGAUUUUUCGUUAAAAUGAACAGUACCGCGGGCUUUUCGUUAAAACUCCCAAAAACAAAUCAAAGUUUUUAUUAUAAACCCAAUUGCUCUUUUAUAGUUGUGAAGGGAGAAUGUUGUGCAGGCAUUGUCGCUUGAGGUUCACUGUAUGAGAACAAGUCGCAACUCAAGUUUUGUAUCUUAUUUUUCACGACUGAGGCAUGCAAUUGAAGUUUACCUUUGUUUGUAUCAUACUUGACCAAUCCUGAAACUAUUGAGCACCGAUCAACGUUAUACCGUCAAGGACCCAGAAAAGUUUCCCUCCAACCAGGAGGCCAAUCACAGCGCGACACCUGUCGAUAUCAAAAGUCAAUCAUAGCGUGACACGUGUCAACAUCAGAAGCCAAUCACAACACGACACGUGUCAAUGUUUGAAUGAAACUAGAAACUCUCUUCUAUAAAUAGAUAUCAUUCUCUCACAAUAUUUCCUAAUGUCAUUUGUACUAAAUCAUUCACUUGUACUCACUAAAUGAGAGCUUGAACCUAUGUACUUGUGUAAACCCUUCACAAUUAAUGAGAACUCCUCUACUCCGUGGACGUAGCCAAUCUGGGUGAACCACAUACAUCUUGUGUUUGCUUCCCUAUCUCUAUCCAUUUAUAUACUUAUUCAUACUAGUGACCGGAGCAAUCUAGCGAAGGUCACAAACUUAACACUUUCUAUUGUACCAAAAUCCUCACUGAGUUUGUGCAUCAACAACCUUCUUACUUAUCACACCUACAACAAGAAAAACAAGACGAAGAAAAAAAAACACCUGUACUUUUGAAGUUGACCUAGUUCAAAUGGAAGUGCUAUAUAAGAGGGAAUAUAUCCGCUCUAACCAAUGCCGGUGUUAAAGCGAAAAAACACAGCAAUGAGCUAGUAGGAAGAAAACACAGUGAAAACUAGCCAAACUUGAAGCACUAUAUUAGUAGAUAUAAGAUUGCGCCGCCCUUAUUACAAGUCCUUUUAAACAGCAGGCAGCAGGAUACAAGUAUAUAUCACACACAAACAAAUUGCAUGGCUGAACUGGACUCUAUGAUUUCAUGGAAUGGGAUACACAACCACCUUUCCUGUAGUUCUGGAGGUUUCAAGAUAGGCAAAUGCUUCAACAGUCUUCGAAAAUGGAUACAGGCUGGUGGGAUCAAGCACCGGCCUCACCGUCCCACUCUCCAAGUGAGGCUUCAGUUUCUCUAAUACAG